CGCGCAGGCGGCAUCGCAAGUCGGUCUUAAAAAGUGCGGGGCUUAACCCCGUGAGGGGACCGAAACUGUGAAGCUCGAGUGUCGGAGAGGAAAGCGGAAUUCCUAGUGUAGCGGUGAAAUGCGUAGAUAUUAGGAGGAACACCAGUGGCGAAAGCGGCUUUCUGGACGACAACUGACGCUGAGGCGCGAAAGCCAGGGAGCAAAG
rnacentral:rRNA from 1 species